UGGGGAAUCUUGCACAAUGGGGGAAACUCUGAUGCAGCGACGCCGCGUGAGCGAUGAAGCCCUUCGGGGUGUAAAGCUCUUUCGACGGGAACGAUAAUGACGGUACCCGAAGAAGAAGCUGCGGCUAACUACGUGCCAGCAGCCGCGGUAAUACGUAGGCAGCGAGCGUUGUUCGGAAUUACUGGGCGUAAAGGGUCCGUAGGCGGUGUGGCAAGUCGGGAGUGAAAUCUCUGGGCUUAACUCAGAGGCUGCUUCCGAAACUGCCGUGCUAGAGUGUGAGAGAGGCGAGUGGAAUUACGGGUGUAGCGGUGAAAUGCGUAGAUAUCCGUAGGAACAUCCGAGGCGAAGGCGGCUCGCUGGAUCACAACUGACGCUGAGGGACGAAAGCUAGGGGAGCAAACAGGAUUAGAUACCCUGGUAGUCCUAGCCCUAAACCAUCAGGACUUGGGGUUUGCCCUGUACGGGGCAAGUCCCGUAGCUAACGCGUUAAGUCCUGCGCCUGGGGAGUACGGUCGCAAGGCUG
rnacentral:rRNA from 1 species